ACUUAUUUAUCACUAUUAUUAUCACUUUUUUCCCCCCGGAGUUCUUCUCAACUUCGUUUUCAACUACCACUUCUUUUCCACUCUUUUUAUCAAUUUCACUCGAUUCUUUCUUUUCCUCACUCACCUUUGGUUCAUAAGGCACCACUCUAUUUCUCAAUUCAAUGGUUUUGCACAUUUCAUUUUUUGGAUUUUCCACAGUAAGGAUUAUUCUUUUGAAAAUUAUCAUACUGAACUUCGUC
rnacentral:lncRNA from 1 species